GUCCUGCGUUGGAUAGCUACUCCCCGACCUAGGUCGGGGAGAGGAAAGUCCGAACACACAGCCCACGACGUCCGUCGGGGUUAAACGUAGUAGGUAACACCUACCGUCCGCAAGGACAGAGGUGCGAACAGAAACGAUCCGGUUAAGUCCGGCUGAAACGGCAAAAUCCUUACGCGUGUGCAAGAUCGUGCUCCGACUCAGGUCGGAGAGAAUCGCUUGAUCCUGAGGGUAACCGAAGGGCUAGAUAAAUUGCUAUCUCCUCCGACUUGGUCGGAGGAUACAGAAUUCGGCUUAUAGGCGCAAGACCAAA
rnacentral:RNase_P_RNA from 2 species